rnacentral:rRNA from 1 species
UACGAAGGGGGCUAGCGUUGCUCGGAAUUACUGGGCGUAAAGGGCGCGUAGGCGGAUAUCUAAGUUGGGGGUGAAAUCCCGGGGCUCAACCUCGGAAUUGCCUUCAAAACUGGAUAUCUUGAGUUCGGGAGAGGUGAGUGGAACUCCGAGUGUAGAGGUGAAAUUCGUAGAUAUUGGGAAGAACACCGGUGGCGAAGGCGGCUCUCUGGACCGAGACUGACGCUGAGGCGCGAAAGCGUGGGGAGCAAACAGG